rnacentral:rRNA from 1 species
UUUAAUUGUGGAAGCCCACAAAAUAUUGGGACGUAUAAAAAAAAGACAACUCUGUUCCGCAGAGUAGCUGUUGACAUUAUAGUUGUUCAGGCACUUUGUUGACUCUAGAGAACCUCAGGCCAAUCGCACAUCUCGUGAUGGCGACUUUGCAUUCGGAUGUCAUUCAUAUCAACUUUCGAUGCCAGUUUCUGCGCCUACCAUGGUGACCACAAUUAACGGGGAAUCAGGGUUCCAUUCCGUACAGGGACCCUGAGAAACGGCUACCACAUGCAAGGAAGGCAGCAGGUG